UUUUAAUUCAUUCUGGAAGUGGAGAGAUUUUAUGUUCCUUCUUGUAGGAAACACCUGUAAUUAUUGUACUGUCAGAUAAGAGUUUUAUAAGAAAAGGAAGUUAUUUCAGCUGAAAGUACAGGAAAAUUAAUUGCAAUUGUCAUCAGAAAGGAGAGCUUCCAAGGCAGUUAUGGAAAACGCAUUUCUGAUCCUUGCUAUUAGAAGGUUACCUAUGAUGAAAGAAAAAAACAGAAGUACAUGUGACUGGACUACACGGAUAGAUUUUGGUUCUGUAUCUACUAUCACAUCUUAAACAAGGUCUUCGUUCAUUUGAAUCCCCUGCUGGACUAUCCAGAGAGAUUAUGCAAAUAGAAGCUGAUUGCUGUACUGCAGGAGGGCCUGGAAAAUUUCUGGUUGUGAUAAUGAGGAAAUAGCUGGAAAAGCUCCUUGCCUUUAUUUGGAGAGAAACAGUAUAAAAUGUCUGGACUGAAGUAGAGUUGGAGGAAAAUCUUACCCCAAAUUUGACCAGCUAUUUAUUUCUAGCUUACGUUUCCUAAAUCAAGUCAAGUAAUAGUUUCUAGGCAGCUUGUUUUCUGUUGUACCCUGUAAAUAAGGAUCCUGAAAUUCAGCUGAAGAUAAGCAAUGCAUUUGAAGCCAAAUUUGGAGCACAAGAUUGAACCAAAAUUUUCUAAAUCUGUAUUUUGAAAUCUAUACAAAUUAUGUAACCAAUGUUGUGCUUUCUUUAGUCUUUUGUAAUAAAACUACAUAGAAUGAGCUAAUAGGAACUGGA
rnacentral:lncRNA from 1 species